GACGAACGCUGGCGGCGUGCCUAAUACAUGCAAGUAGGACGCAGUUGCGAACGGGUGAGUAACGCGUAGGUAACUACCUAUUAGAGGGGGAUAACUAUUGGAAACGAUAGCUAAUACCGCAUACUAGUAGAUGGACCUGCGUUGGAUUAGCUAGGAGGUAGGGUAAAGGCCUACCUAGGCACCGAUACAUAGCCGACCUGGGGAGGUGGUCGGCCACACUGGGACGUGAGCACGGCCCAGGCUCCUACGGGAAGCAGCAGUAGGGGAUCUUCGGAAAAGGGGGGAAACCUGACCGAGCAACGCCGGGGGGGUGAAGAAAGUUUUCGGAGCGGAAAGCUCUGUUGUUAAGGAAGCGGUACUUAACGAGAAAGGGACGGCUAACUACGUGCCAGCAGCCGCGGUAAUUC
rnacentral:rRNA from 1 species